AGGCUUAUGAGCCACCUGGAAGAAUUUCUCUAGGAUUGCACCAUCAAACCCUUGCUAUCCUUAAGAUACAUCGAUGACAUCUUCAAGAUUUAGACUGAAAGCCUGCAAUCUCAGAUUGAAUUUCAGAUGGAAUUCAA